GAUGAACGCUGGCGGCGUGCCUAAUACAUGCAAGUCGAGCGAACGGACGAGAAGCUUGCUUCUCUGAUGUUAGCGGCGGACGGGUGAGUAACACGUGGAUAACCUACCUAUAAGACUGGGAUAACUUCGGGAAACCGGAGCUAAUACCGGAUAAUAUUUUGAACCGCAUGGUUCAAAAGUGAAAGAUGGUCUUGCUGUCACUUAUAGAUGGAUCCGCGCUGCAUUAGCUAGUUGGUAAGGUAACGGCUUACCAAGGCAACGAUGCAUAGCCGACCUGAGAGGGUGAUCGGCCACACUGGAACUGAGACACGGUCCAGACUCCUACGGGAGGCAGCAGUAGGGAAUCUUCCGCAAUGGGCGAAAGCCUGACGGAGCAACGCCGAGUGAGUGAUGAAGGUCUUCGGAUCGUAAAACUCUGUUAUUAGGGAAGAACAUAUGUGUAAGUAACUGUGCACAUCUUGACGGUACCUAAUCAGAAAGCCACGGCUAACUACGUG
rnacentral:rRNA from 1 species